AACACUUACUUUUACUGUUUGCUUGAUGGAUUCUCCCUCCAAAGAGUUGCAGUCCUCGAACACGAUCGGGCUGACCUCCCAGUGUCUGUGUGUGUCUUGCAGCAGGGCCACAUUCUACUCUCGGAGGGACAAGAGCAAUGGAAGUUCUUGCAGGUUCUGUAAUUGACUCAAGAUCUCCUCUGGAUCGAAAUCCGAGUCGCUAUCUUCACCCGACAUUCUACCAGAAGUGUGCGUAAGCUACGCCUUGGCGCCGAAUACCAAAGACUACUGUAUCCUAAUUGUGACGUCUUUGAUUGGCUUGAGAAGGUGUACUAAGAGAGGAAGAUGUCCCCCAUUUCCCAGUGGAUGCUACGGCACUGAACUUCAAAAAUCCUUUUCUUUAUCUCAUUCAAACAUCCCCUUAGGGAUGUCAUGCUCUAAGCCUAAACCAAUCAAGAGCCUGAUAUACUUAUAACAGAAACUCCCUCUCUUGGAGAUUAUCCUAUUUUGUUGUGUUUUUUUUUUCUAUUAUUAUUUCUUUUUAAUUUUGCAAUAUAUGUCCCACCCUAGAAAACAACGUUCCCGUCCCCUGUCAAGGGUGAGUUGGGUGGCUAUCUGCUAUCUAUUUUGAAAAAUUUCUGGCGGUGGGUGGACGCUGGUGGUGACCAUCAACGCCUCUAACAACGAUCAUCUUCAGAAAGCUGAGAACAACUGCGCAGACUCCGCCACGGCGUGACCUUCAACGAGACUGACACCCCGGGCAGUAAGCUCUCUGAUGAAGACAUCCACGAGAUCGUUGGAACCGAUGGCGUAUUCAUGGUAGAGACGGCUUACAGUCCGCAAUCUUUGAAUAACAAGGUCAAGGACGCGGUGUUCUACAAGAUUCCAACAAGAGAGCAUGCUCUCUUGAUUCCAAGCGGCUCUCGUCAUGCAGAAGAGACAUAAUGUGGGCAAAAUUAAUUAAUCAUCGAUCAGCCAUAUAAGCGCAUGUUGUAUGCCUUCAAGUACGGAUGGCACACAGGAAUCUUUGACAAGCGACAAGGCUACCUCAGGGUGAAGUGAUGCACGGAAUAUGUAGCAAGCGACAUGGUUACUUCUGGGUAAAGUGAGGCACGGAAAUAUAUAGCAAGCGACAAGGCUACCUCUGGGUGGAGUGAGGCACGGGAAUCUAUAGCAAGCGACAAGGCUACCUCUGGGUGGAGUGAGGCACGGGAAUCUAUAGCAAGCGGCAAGGCUGCCUCUGGGUGGAGUGAGGCACGGGAAUCUAUAGCAAGCGACAAGGCUACCUUUGCGUGGAGUGAGGCACGGGAAUCUAUAGAAAGCGACAAGGCUAUCCUGGGUUUAGUGAUGCACGGGAAUCUAUAGCAAGCGCCAAGGCUACCUCUGAGUGAAGUGAUACACGGGAAUCUAUAGCAAGCUAUAUGGCUACCUCUGUGUGAAGUGAUACAAGGGAAUCUAUAGCAAGCUGCAAGGCUACCUCUGGGUGAAGUGAUGCAAGGAAUAUGUAGCAAGCGACAUGGCUACCUCUGGGUGAAGUGAUGCACGGGAAUCUAUAGCAAGCGACAAGGCUACCUCUGGGUGGAGUAAUACACGGGAAUCUAUAGCAAGCGACAUGGCUACCUCUGGGUGAAGUGAUG